UACGUAGGGAGCAAGCGUUGUCCGGAAUCAUUGGGCGUAAAGCGCGCGUAGGUGGCCUCGUAAGUCCGCUGUGAAAGUCGAAGGCUCAACCUUUGAAAGCCGGUGGAUACUGUGAGGCUAGAGUACGGAAGAGGCGAGUGGAAUUCCUGGUGUAGCGGUGGAAUGCGCAGAUAUCAGGAGGAACACCAAUAGCGAAGGCAGCUCGCUGGGACGUAACUGACACUGAGGCGCGAAAGCGUGGGGAGCGAACAGG
rnacentral:rRNA from 1 species